CGACGUAAGUUUGGACCUCAAGGAUGGAACAGGGUAUACCCCUUUAACUUUGGUGAUUUGACGAUUUGCGUAUAUGUGUUGUACAACUACCUGGAGGCUAACCCUCGCGUGCCCUGGGAGGACCUUCGGUAUCUCUUUGGUGAAAUCAUGUAUGGCGGACACAUCACCGAUGACUGGGACAGGAGGCUUUGUAGAACCUUCUUACUGGAGUACAUGCAGCCGGAACUGGUGAUAUUUAUUUAUCUGUAUAACACUAGUAUAACAAUUGUGUAAUUUAUUUAAUAUUUGGAAAACCAACAGCAC
rnacentral:misc_RNA from 1 species